AAAGCAAAUUUAAAAAUAAUAGGGUUAACUUCAAAUACCAUUUUUUUGUGGUUUUGCAUUUUCUCACUUUAAUAUCCUAUGGUUUAAAUUUUAAAAUGUAUCAAGUUAGCAUCAUGUUGUUUUAUUUUUAUUUUUUCAUCAGCUUUUUCGUUAAUAUUUUGUUAAAUUAUAUAAAAAAAACUUCAGAUAUCCCACCUAGAUUUAUCGAAUAUUCACUUUAGUACAUUUUAGUUUUAACUUUCUCACUGAUUUAACGAAAAAAUUAGUAAAAUUAAUAUAAAAAGAUAAAAAUGAAACCAAAUGAUAUUAAAUUGAUACACUUUAAAUUAUAGUAUAUUAAAAUAAAAAAAAUAUGAAACCACUACGAUGGUACUUAAAGUUUUUAAAAUAAUAUUAAUUAACACCCGCAUUGCUUCUUGUAUUGAUUUUCUACCCCAAGUUCUUUGUACUUUAUGUUACUCAAUAUUUAUUUAUUUAUUUCGCCUUUUUUGUGUGCAUUAUUUAUUUAUUUAUUUUUUGCAAUUAGCCUAUGUAAAUUUAUAUUUGUAAUAAUAAUUCUCUCAUUGACACGUGAGAGCCAUGUUAGAAUUUUAAGUUGAACAUAAUUUUUCUAUCUUAUUAGCAGCACGUAGACUAAGGGGCCUUUAGUUAGAUAUAAUUAUAAAUGCAAUAUAGUUGGAGAUAUAUGUAGCUGAAGAUGUAGCAAUUUCAACUAUAUGCAUCGUAUUUGGUUGGAUGUAAUAAAAAACGAUAUAAUUAUAAAUAAUUUAUUUUAUUACAUACAGUUAAAAAUAAUUUUUAAAAUUUUAUUAUUUUAUAUAUAUGAUAAUGAGAUUACCUCUAAUGUUGAAAAAUAUAUUUAUUUUUAUUUUAAAAAUAAUUACGAAAGCAAGCUUAUAUUUUGUUUAAAGUUAUUCUCUCUAAUUGCUUCAGGUGAAACUGCAAUCAGUUUGAGCGUAGUUGGGACUUCUCCUGCAGUUAUUACGCAACAAUUGAAGUUAAAAAUAUCAAAUCAGACACUGAAUUUAUAUUUAUAUACAGUUAUAAUUACAGUACAGUUGUAAUUAUAUAUAACCAAACGAUCCCUUAUAUAAGAGAAAAUAAGGUGGUUCAUUUUGUUAUGUCCUAUUCAACUUGGACGUCCAACAUGACACACACACAUAACAAGUAGAGGAUCAUUUUUUGUAAAUAUAAUUUUGCACAAUAUAUUUGUAAAUGAAAAAAAAUUUUAGAGAAAGCUAAAUGUUAAAAAAUAUAUAUUUAUUUUAUAUUAGUCCUACGUGU
rnacentral:lncRNA from 1 species